UCGAAAUGAAGAUGCAACUUAUAUCCCACGAAAUCUUGCAGUUUUCCAAUCUCAAUGUCGUCCACUCACAAAGGGAACUUUGAAGACUCUCGAUCAUAAGACUCGUGAAAUAGCUGAGUGGUUCAUACUUGAGAAUUCUCCUGAAAUUGAGCCUUAUUUAGAUGAACACCUACAAGAGAUUAAACAAAAAUACCCAGAUGGUGAUCAUGAUCGUUUGCAUAGGAAAAAUUUUCGUUCGUGGUUUCAUAAAAAGAUAUAUGACCUGCACAAGCUUGGGUCUUUGGAUAACGGUGAUGAACUGUUAGCUUUAGCAUCUGGGUCAGAUCAUUUGUCAACAUUUUACCAAGGUUGUAUAGUCAAUGGUGUUCGAUUUAUUGCACACGAUCGAGACAAAAAGCGCACCACACAGAAUAGUGGAGUGUCGGCUGCCGGAACCGAAGGUUUUAAUUUUUACGGCACGCUUGAAGAAGUGGUGAUACUUUCUUUCACUGGUGCAUAUUCAGUGGCAUUAUUUCGGUGCAAAUGGUUUAA